GAUGAACGCUGGCGGCGUGCCUAAUACAUGCAAGUCGAGCGAACCACUUCGGUGGUGAGCGGCGAACGGGUGAGUAACACGUAGGUGAUCUGCCCAUCAGACGGGGACAACGAUUGGAAACGAUCGCUAAUACCGGAUAGGACGAAAGUUUAAAGGUGCUUCUGGCACCGCUGAUGGAUGAGCCUGCGGCGCAUUAGCUAGUUGGUAGGGUAAAGGCCUACCAAGGCGACGGUGCGUAGCCGACCUGAGAGGGUGAACGGCCACACUGGGACUGAGACACGGCCCAGACUCCUACGGGAGGCAGCAGUAGGGAAUCUUCGGCAAUGGGCGAAAGCCUGACCGAGCAACGCCGCGUGAAUGAUGAAGGCCUUCGGGUUAUAAAAUUCUGUUAUAAGGGAAGAACGACUUUAGUAGGAAAUGGCUAGAGUGUGACAGUACCUUAUGAGAAAGCCACGGCUAACUACGUGCCAGCCGCCGCAGUAAGAC
rnacentral:rRNA from 1 species